CCGUGCGGUGCCCGGUAGGGUGUAGCAGGCAGGGUUGUGCCACAUCGUUGGGGGCUGUCGCGGCAAAAUGCUGCACUGGGGGAGACGGGCAGCAGGACGCGGCCACUCGCUCCUACCCUGCCCGCUGACCUCUGACAAAGAUGACUGCUGGCCUCUGGGAGCUGACUCCUUCAGAGCAGGGAUGAGUCACUGCCCCUGGGUCAAUAAUGCUACGAUGGCACUCACGAUGGAAAAACAAUGAGGGGGAACAAACAAGGUGCAGACUCCAUCCUUCCUGGAAAGGAAGCCCACAGGAGU